GAGUCAAUCUUCCUCCUGGGCCGGUUCUGCGGGUGUUCUGUCCUCCCGGCCUUCAGCUGUUCCGUCUGCAGUUCACGUAAGAGCCUGCGGCAGAGAAGCCCGGAAAGCCUGCAGAGGGAGAGAAAGCCCAGCCUCCCACUUUGGUCUCCAACUGGCUCCAUCCAGCUCAACGACCUUCGUCAAGUCACUUCCGCUCGCCAAGAGUUCUUCUGCCCUGUUGUGGCUUUGCAACCGCCAGCUGGGCUGCUCUGUCCCUUCUUGCUCCAUCUUUGCUGCUCUCAUUAACACCUAUGCCAGGUGCUCUCUGCCCCCAUCCCCAAACCCAGGAGGUGCUGAUGGUUCAUUUGUUCCUAAAACAAACCUGAGUUUUUAUUUCCCCAGUGGGAACUGGAUCCUCUGCUUUUUGAACUCCUUAAA